CCAGCGGUGAUGAGCCUCUAACAUGUAAGAUGAAUCCUUAUUGGGUUUUCUUCAAUGAAAUCUAUUUGUUACGCUUGGCUUCUGAGCUUU
rfam:Lupinus angustifolius cultivar Tanjil contig_6117, whole genome shotgun sequence.